rnacentral:lncRNA from 1 species
CAUCACUGCUUCUUCUGCUCCCGUCACAAAAAUCAGUCACCACACCUCCCUUCACACAAAAACAAUUCCACCUCUUCUUCUAACUUUCGAUUUGAAACCAAGGAAUCCGAUGGAGUUUGACUGAGGUCAUUUUGGUUUCAAGUUUUUCGGUGUCGAUUCGAGUUUUCGUUCGCAGUCCGUUACAUUUUCGAGUACGGAGCAGUGAAACAAUCACGGUCAAAUUCUGUUUUGAGGUUCAUUUCUUUCCCACUCCAAUUGUUCUUCGACGAGAAUAUGAUUUGAUUUGGUUAAAUGCUUGAUUUUAUUCUUACGGUCUAGAUGAUGGUUGAUUACUUUCAGAUGAUGAAUUGUUUGUGUUCAAUGAAUUCUGAAGCACUCUUAGAGUGACAUAUUUCUUUUAAAAUAAAAUAAAAUUUGAUAUCACCAAUAACUGAUUUAAAAAGUUGUCGUGCAAUAGGAGUUGCUGGGCCAAGGGAUAAGAAGAAAGUUGUAGCUUUUACCUGUGUUAAGUGUUGCCUGAUACCCAUUAUGCCUCUCCUUGUUACCAUUGGAUUUUUCUUAUAAAUUGCACUUUGUAUCAUAGUUUUGUUUGUCCAACAAAGAUAUGUACUAUUCUUCUAUAUGUACUCUGAAAUACAUUUCAAUUGCUGUUACUGUUUUUUUAAUUAGAUUAGGAUUUCUCAUUUAUAUUCUUCACCUAUAUGAAAUUGGAAGCCUUAUGCGUUUUGUUGCAUCUCCAUAUGUUUACAUAUGCAAAACGUGUGC